CAGCAGCCACGGGAAUACGGAGGGGGCUAGCGUUGUUCGGAAUUACUGGGCGUAAAGCGCACGUAGGCUGCUUUGUAAGUCAGAGGUGAAAGCCCGGGGCUCAACCCCGGAUGUGCCUUUGAGACUGCAGGGCUAGAACGUCGGAGAGGUGAGUGGAAUUCCGAGUGUAGAGGUGAAAUUGGUAGAUAUUCGGAAGAGCACCAGUGGCGAAGGCGGCUCACUGGACGACUGUUGACGCUGAGGCACGAAAGCGUGGGGAGCAAACAGGAUUAGAGACCCCAGUAGUCCCUGUCUCUUAUAC
rnacentral:rRNA from 1 species